AACGAACGCUGGCGGCAUGCCUAACACAUGCAAGUCGAACGAGACCUUCGGGUCUAGUGGCGCACGGGUGCGUAACGCGGGGGAACCUGCCCUUAGGUUCGGAAUAACUCCCCGAAAGGGGUGCUAAUACCGGAUAAUGUCUUCGGACCAAAGAUUUAGCGCCUUUGGAUGGGCGCGCGUGGGCUUAGCUAGUUGGUAGGGUAAAAGCCUACCAAGGGGACGAUCCAUAGCGGGUCUGAGAGGCUGAUCCCACACACUGGGGCUGAGAAACGGCCGAGAAUACUGCGGGAGGGAGGAGUGGGGAAUCUUGGCCAAUGGGCGGAGGCAUGAACCACCUAUGCCUGGUGAGUGAUGAAGGCCUUAGGGUUGUAAAGCAAUUUUACCCCGGAUGAUAAUGACAGUACCGGCAGAAUAAGCACCGGCUAACUCCGUG
rnacentral:rRNA from 1 species